CGGUCCCCUCGCGACGAUAAGUUGUGAACCCCGUCAGGCCCGGAAGGGAGCAGCGGCAGCAAUGGCUUCGGGCGCCGGGGUGUGGCUGGUU
rnacentral:SRP_RNA from 1 species